AUGGCCUGGUACUCAGGGCUCUACUGUCCCUCCAUCAUGUCCUAAUGGCCUGGUACUCAGGGCUCUACUGUCCCCCCAUCAGGUCCUAAUGGCCUGGUACUCAGGGCUCUACUGUCCCUCCAUCAGGCCCUAAUGGCCUGGUACUCAGGGCUCUACUGUCCCUCCAUCACGUCCUAAUGGCCUGGUACUCAGGGCUCUACUGUCCCUCCAUCAGGUCCUAAUGGCCUGGUACUCAGGGCUCUACUGUCCCUCCAUCAGGUCAUAAUGGCCUGGUACUCAGGGCUCUACUGUCCCUCCAUCAGGUCAUAAUGGCCUGGUACUCAGGGCUCUACUGUCCCUCCAUCAGGUCCUAAUGGCCUGGUACUCAGGGCUCUACUGUCCCUCCAUCAGGUCAUAAUGGCCUGGUACUCAGGGCUCUACUGUCCCUCCAUCAGGUCAUAAUGGCCUGGUACUCAGGGCUCUACUGUCCCUCCAUCAGGUCAUAAUGGCCUGGUACUCAGGGCUCUACUGUCCCUCCAUCAGGUCCUAAUGGCCUGGUACUCAGGGCUCUACUGUCCCUCCAUCAGGUCCUAAUGGCCUGGUACUCAGGGCUCUACUGUCCCUCCAUCAGGUCCUAAUGGCCUGGUACUCAGGGCUCUACUGUCCCUCCAUCAGGUCAUAAUGGCCUGGUACUCAGGGCUCUACUGUCCCUCCAUCAGGUCAUAAUGGCCUGGUACUCAGGGCUCUACUGUCCCUCCAUCAGGUCAUAAUGGCCUGGUACUCAGGGCUCUACUGUCCCUCCAUCAGGUCAUAAUGGCCUGGUACUCAGGGCUCUACUGUCCCUCCAUCAGGUCAUAAUGGCCUGGUACUCAGGGCUCUACUGUCCCUCCAUCAGGUCAUAAUGGCCUGGUACUCAGGGCUCUACUGUCCCUCCAUCAGGUCAUAAUGGCCUGGUACUCAGGGCUCUACUGUCCC